AUGGCAGAAAGGUUCAUCGCCUCGAGUAAUCGGGGAGGAAAGUCCGGGCAACACAGGGUACCAUGCUUGCUAACGGCAAGGUGCGGCAACGUACAGACAGUGCCACAGAAAAUAACCACCUCGCCCUGACGUGUCGGGAUGGGGAAAGGGUGAAAACGCAGGGUAAGAGCCUACGAGCCCCGUGGCGACACUGGGGCGGGGUAAACCUCAUGGGUUGUAAGACCAAAUAAACCCCGGCGUCCUGAUGUAUCAGGACAAAGCGCGGCCCGCGCCAUAACUUGCCGCAAGGCGGGUUGUCGGGAAGGGUAGGUUGCACGAGCAGGUCGGCAACGGCUUGCCUAGAUAAAUGAUGAGCAGUCUCGAAAUAUCGGGAUGAACAAAACCCGGCUUACUCUUCUGCCAUUUUU
rnacentral:RNase_P_RNA from 1 species